rnacentral:rRNA from 1 species
GAUUAGCCUGCGUCCGAUUAGCUAGUUGGUAGGGUAAAGGCCUACCAAGGCGACGAUCGGUAGCUGGUCUGAGAGGAUGGCCAGCCACACUGGAACUGGGACACGGUCCAGACUCCUACGGGAGGCAGCAGUGGGGAAUAUUGGACAAUGGGGGCAACCCUGAUCCAGCAAUGCCGCGUGUGUGAAGAAGGCCUGAGGGUUGUAAAGCACUUUCAGUGGGGAGGAGGAUUGAUUGGUUAAGAGCUGAUUAAUUGGACGUUACCCACAGAAGAAGCACCGGCUAACUCCGUGCCAGCAGCCGCGGUAAUACGGAGGGUGCGAGCGUUAAUCGGAAUUACUGGGCGUAAAGGGUGCGUAGGUGGUUUGAUAAGUUAUCUGUAAAAGCCCGGGGCUCAACCUUGGAAGGCCAGAUAAUACUGUUGAACUGGAGUAUGGGAGAGGGUAGUGGAAUUUCCGGUGUAGCGGUGAAAUGCGUAGAGAUCGGAAGGAACACCAGUGGCGAAGGCGGCUACCUGGCCUGAUACUGACACUGAAGCACGAAAGCGUGGGGAGCAAACAGGAUUAGAUACCCUGGUAGUCCACGCUGUAAACGAUGUCAACUAGCUGUUGG